UCGACAGUCAUUGUGCCAUUUGGUGUGAGC
rnacentral:piRNA from 1 species